rnacentral:sRNA from 1 species
AAAUUGGCCAAAAAUGACUGAAAUUAGUCAAAAAUUGGCUAAAAAUGACUGAAAAUA